ensembl:lncRNA
GGGCGAGAGCCACCUCUCCGCACCUGAGUGGGAAAUGGAGCUCGCCGGACCCCGAGGCCACCCUGUAAGCAGGGUAGUGCCGUUUCCCUGCCCCUCUUCCUCCCCCGGCCCCUCGGCAUCGUUGCCUGAUGGUGGCUUGUCAACGCGACGGCCCCGUACUCGGGGUGUGUGUCCCAAGCUUUGGAGCCCUCUGUCCCUGAGCAGCCCGCCCGCCCUGUAAUCAGGUGUGGGGAGGCUGCAGCGUUGCAGCCGGCUGCUUUAGCCGUCCAGCUGGUGGGAGUGACCCCUCCCUGUCCCGUCAGAGGGUGCAGGUUGAGGUGCUGUUUGUGUGUGGGGUGACCUCCCCGCUCGGUGGGUCGAGGUAGCUCCCUGGGCUUCCAAAGACGAGGCGUUGGUGAUGUUCUGCUGCUGCCGGGCGGGCCAGCCUGUAACUCAGGCGUUGGCGGGAGCCUCGUGCUCCGCGGGGCUUCUUGAAGAGGGUGAGGUGUGGGGGUACCGUCCUGUAGGCAGGGCUGUGUGUGCCCCCCGUGUGUGCUUGGUGAGCUGCGUUCUGAGAGACCCCCUGUACUCAGGUGGGAAUGUGGCCCCGGCCUUUCAGAGGCGCAGGGCCGUGAGAUGCGGGGUGGGGCUUGCGCCCUCCCUGGAAUCGGGGCUGGGAUCCCGACUGCGGCCUUUGGCCGUGCCGCCCCGCUGCCUGGCUGCUGAGAGUUGCUCCUGCCGCUGGGGGGGAAACCGAGCUCUGUGGCUCCAGGGGUGUUGUCCACCCGCCUGUAAUCAGGGUCUGGGUGCGUGAGCGUUUGUGCUCUGCUGGCAGCCUGUGUGGGGUGACCGCCCCGCUAGCGGGGUGUGGGUCGAGGUGCCCCGGACUGGGAGAGAAGGAGCCUCCCUCGGCCGUAGGGAUGGGGGCUGCCCUGUAAGUCAGGGAGCAUCUGUGUCCCGGAGUCCCAGGCCCUUUUCAAUGGCGGCAGUGGCCGGGGGUCCCCUGUAAGCAGGGAAGCUGACUCUUUGGCUGCUGCUUUUUGUGUGCCCAGCCCCAUUUGCCCGGUCUGCCCGCCUCUGUGAUCCCCCGCAGCACUGGCUGGAAGUCCGCCGCGUGUCAGUGAGGAGCUGCUGCAGAAGGAAGAAGAAGAAGCGGCGUGGGGAGCUGGGAGGCAGGAGCAAGCAAGAAGAGGAAGCGGAAGCGUGCAGAUGCGGGGGGGAAGGAGAGAGGCUCCCUGGGCAAAGCACCUGUCCCGUUAGCGGGGGCACAGUCACGUUUGAGUUGAGAGCUGCCGGCGCCUUUGGUGACCAGGCUGGCGUUGUGCUGGGCGACCUCCCCGUAAGCGGGGCUCGGGUCUUUGCUGUAGUUGGCCUUUUGCCUUGCUGCUCCUUUGGCUGCCUGGGGAGCGUGGCCCCCUGUAACGGAGGGCGAGAGCCACCUCUCCGCACCUGAGUGGGAAAUGGAGCUCGCCGGACCCCGAGGCCACCCUGUAAGCAGGGUAGUGCCGUUUCCCUGCCCCUCUUCCUCCCCCGGCCCCUCGGCAUCGUUGCCUGAUGGUGGCUUGUCAACGCGACGGCCCCGUACUCGGGGUGUGCGUCACGGCAUUUGGCCGCUGGCUUUACCUGAGGAGCCCCUUGGCACGUUGAGGUCUGUGGCCUCCGUGCAGCCUAGGGACGGGUCACAGGCUCUUGUCUGUUGCCCGUGGUUGUGGGUUUAUUCCCAGGUGUUGGCUGUGCUGCGUUGUCCUUCCCUUCUGGAAAGUCGUGCCUGUGUGUGCGUGUUCCCCUUCCUUUCCUUGUUUGUGUUUGUGGAGUGGUUGAGCGGGUGUGCUUUCCCUUUAGGCCUCCACAAAGAUGGCUGCAGCUUAGCUUUGACUUCCCAGGGGGGAAUGGAGGACUUUGGUGCAUGCCGCAAAAGGGGUGUUCCCUCUUAGUCCUGCGAGCGCAGCGAGUGUCCUGUCUUCCUACUAUUUUCCUUAGUGCAGAUCAGAGCCACACGGUAGUUCUGUGGCCAAGGCCUCCCUGUAGCCAGGGCUUGGGCCUGUCCUUGCGUGGCCGCCUGUCCUGCUGGCGGCGGUGACAGCCCCGUACUCGGGGUGUGUGUCCCAAGCUUUGGAGCCCUCUGUCCCUGAGCAGCCCGCCCGCCCUGUAAUCAGGUGUGGGGAGGCUGCAGCGUUGCAGCCGGCUGCUUUAGCCGUCCAGCUGGUGGGAGUGACCCCUCCCUGUCCCGUCAGAGGGUGCAGGUUGAGGUGCUGUUUGUGUGUGGGGUGACCUCCCCGCUCGGUGGGUCGAGGUAGCUCCCUGGGCUUCCAAAGACGAGGCGUUGGUGAUGUUCUGCUGCUGCCAGGCGGGCCAGCCUGUAACUCAGGCGUUGGCGGGAGCCUCGUGCUCCGCGGGGCUUCUUGAAGAGGGUGAGGUGUGGGGGUACCGUCCUGUAGGCAGGGCUGUGUGUGCCCCCCGUGUGUGCUUGGUGAGCUGCGUUCUGAGAGACCCCCUGUACUCAGGUGGGAAUGUGGCCCCGGCCUUUCAGAGGCGCGGGGCCGUGAGAUGCGGGGUGGGGCUUGCGCCCUCCCUGGAAUCGGGGCUGGGAUCCCGACUGCGGCCUUUGGCCGUGCCGCCCCGCUGCCUGGCUGCUGAGAGUUGCUCCUGCCGCUGGGGGGGAAACCGAGCUCUGUGGCUCCAGGGGUGUUGUCCACCCGCCUGUAAUCAGGGUCUGGGUGCGCGAGCGUUUGUGCUCUGCUGGCAGCCUGUGUGGGGUGACCGCCCCGCUAGCGGGGUGUGGGUCGAGGUGCCCCGGACUGGGAGAGAAGGAGCCUCCCUCGGCCGUAGGGAUGGGGGCUGCCCUGUAAGUCAGGGAGCAUCUGUGUCCCGGAGUCCCAGGCCCUUUUCAAUGGCGGCAGUGGCCGGGGGUCCCCUGUAAGCAGGGAAGCUGACUCUUUGGCUGCUGCUUUUUGUGUGCCCAGCCCCAUUUGCCCAGUCUGCCCGCCUCUGUGAUCCCCCGCAGCACUGGCUGGAAGUCCGCCGCGCAUCAGUGAGCUGAGAAAAGCUGCUCGAAGAGCUGCUUCAGAAGAAAGAAGAAGCGGCGUGGGGACCUGGGCUGCAAAAUCAAGAUGGGGCAUCUGUUGACUGUUUUUCUUGUAUUUCUUUGCCUUUUGGAGCCACAGUUUUGAACGGUUGUGUAAGACUUUAUCACUCUUUUUGUCAGCGUCGUCAGCUGUGAAUAAAGUUUUUUUUCCAUGUUGUUUUUCCUGUUAUA